rnacentral:rRNA from 1 species
AUGGUAGGAUAGAGGCCUACCAUGGUGGUAACGGGUAACGGGGUGCUAGGGCACGACACCGGAGAGGGAGCCUGAGAAACGGCUACCACAUCCAAGGAUGGCAGCAGGCGCGCAAAUUACCCAAUCCCGACACGGGAAGGUAGUGACAAUAAAUAACAAUACGGGGUUCUUUAGGAUCUCGUAAUUGGAAUGAGUACAAUUUAAAUCUCUUAACGAGGAACAAUUGGAGGGCAAGUCUGGUGCCAGCAGCCGCGGUAAUUCCAGCUCCAAUAGCGUAUAUUAAAGUUGUUGCAGUUAAAAAGCUCGUAGUUGAAUUUCGGGGUCAGUAGGUCGGUCGUGCCACUGGUAUGAACUGGUUUUACUGAUUCCUCCCUCUUGAAGAACUGUAAUGCCAUUAAUUUGGUGUUGCAGGGAAUCAGGACUGUUACUUUGAAAAAAUUAGAGUGUUUAAAGCAGGCUUUAGCUUGAAUACAUUAGCAUGGAAUAAUGAAAUAGGACGUUUGAUCCUAUUUUGUUGGUUUCUAGGAUUGACGUAAUGAUUAAUAGGGAUAGUUGGGGGUAUUAGUAUUCAAUUGUCAGAGGUGAAAUUCUUGGAUUUAUUGAAGACUAACUACUGCGAAAGCAUUUGCCAAGGAUGUUUUCAUUAAUCAAGAACGAAAGUUAGGGGAUCGAAGACGAUCAGAUACCGUCGUAGUCUUAACCAUAAACUAUGCCGACUAGGGAUCGGAUGAUGUUAAUUUUUUAAUGACUCAUUCGGCGCCUUACGGGAAACCAAAGUGUUUGGG